AACGAACGCUGGCGGCGCGCCUAAUACAUGCAAGUCGAACGAGAAUGUGUAGCAAUACACAUGUACAGUGGCGAACGGGUGAGGAAUACAUAGGUAACCUACCCUCGAGUGGGGAAUAACUAGCCGAAAGGUUAGCUAAUACCGCGUAAGCUUCCGGGACUGCGGUUCCGGAAGGAAAGCGAUACCGUGGGUAUCGCGCUCUUGGAUGGGCUUAUGUCCUAUCAGCUUGUUGGUGAGGUAACGGCUCACCAAGGCUUCGACGGGUAGCUG
rnacentral:rRNA from 1 species